rnacentral:rRNA from 1 species
GACGAACGCUGGCGGCGUGCUUAACACAUGCAAGUCGAACGGAAAGGCCCUGCUUUUGUGGGGUGCUCGAGUGGCGAACGGGUGAGUAACACGUGAGUAACCUGCCCUUGACUUUGGGAUAACUUCAGGAAACUGGGGCUAAUACCGGAUAGGAGCUCCUGCUGCAUGGUGGGGGUUGGAAAGUUUCGGCGGUUGGGGAUGGACUCGCGGCUUAUCAGCUUGUUGGUGGGGUAGUGGCUUACCAAGGCUUUGACGGGUAGCCGGCCUGAGAGGGCGACCGGCCACAUUGGGACUGAGAUACGGCCCAGACUCCUACGGGAGGCAGCAGUGGGGAAUAUUGCACAAUGGGCGGAAGCCUGAUGCAGCAACGCCGCGUGCGGGAUGACGGCCUUCGGGUUGUAAACCGCUUUCGCCUGUGACGAAGCGUGAGUGACGGUAAUGGGUAAAGAAGCACCGGCUAACUACGUGCCAGCAGCCGCGGUGAUACGUAGGGUGCGAGCGUUGUCCGGAUUUAUUGGGCGUAAAGGGCUCGUAGGUGGUUGAUCGCGUCGGAAGUGUAAUCUUGGGGCUUAACCCUGAGCGUGCUUUCGAUACGGGUUGACUUGAGGAAGGUAGGGGAGAAUGGAAUUCCUGGUGGAGCGGUGGAAUGCGCAGAUAUCAGGAGGAACACCAGUGGCGAAGGCGGUUCUCUGGGCCUUUCCUGACGCUGAGGAGCGAAAGCGUGGGGAGCGAACAGGCUUAGAUACCCUGGUAGUCCACGCUGUAAACGGUGGGUACUAGGUGUGGGGUCCAUUCCACGGGUUCCGUGCCGUAGCUAACGCUUUAAGUACCCCGCCUGGGGAGUACGGCCGCAAGGCUAAAACUCAAAGGAAUUGACGGGGCCCCGCACAAGCGGCGGAGCAUGCGGAUUAAUUCGAUGCAACGCGUAGAACCUUACCUGGGUUUGACAUGGAUCGGGAGUGCUCAGAGAUGGGUGUGCCUCUUUUGGGGUCGGUUCACAGGUGGUGCAUGCCUGUCGUCAGCUCGUGUCGUGAGAUGUUGGGUUAAGUCCCGCAACGAGCGCAACCCUUGUUCACUGUUGCCAGCACGUUAUGGUGGGGACUCAGUGGAGACCGCCGGGGUCAACUCGGAGGAAGGUGGGGAUGACGUCAAGUCCUCAUGCCCCUUAUGUCCAGGGCUUCACGCAUGCUACAAUGGCUGGUACAGAGAGUGGCGAGCCUGUGAGGGUGAGCGAAUCUCGGAAAGCCGGUCUCAGUUCGGAUUGGGGUCUGCAACUCGACCUCAUGAAGUCGGAGUCGCUAGUAAUCGCAGAUCAGCAACGCUGCGGCGAAUACGUUCCCGGGGCU